rnacentral:lncRNA from 1 species
AUGGUAGAGCAGGGGCAUCCACGGGGUCCCGGGGGCAGUGGGGGGGGGCAGUGGCUGCCUGGGAUAAAUGAGACCCGGACAAUGGUAAGAGCCAUCCCGUCAGGGGUGGGGGCUGGGAGGGGGGUCAGGGGCCUCGCUGCCUUGGAGGAGGCUAGGGGUUUGGUCAGUGUCUGGAAUGGAAAGAGUAGGAUGGGGGUGUGGCGGCACGCACGGGGAAGAGGACGAAGACUGAGGUCUUGGAAUGGUCACAGAGGACGAGGAUGUUUAUGCCUCGUGACUGUUCACCCCAAGGCUCCCCAGCAGCGCGGCUCUCUCGUGCCACGGGAGUCAGGCAGGCGGCUCUGGGGCUGUCACCACCCCUCCCCGGCCGCGGGCCGUGGGGCAGGGAGGGGCACGGGCUGACCCUGGUCUAGAUGCCCGGGCUGAUGUGAUCUGACCUGUGCUGCGGCGCCCACACCCAGUGGCUUAUGAUGUUCAGGUGGAGCCCCAAGCCGGGGAGUCAGGACAAGUGGCCCUGACACCUAAGUGACAGGGACGGCAGGUGGAAGAGCCUGGACCUGGGGGACAGCAGCCAGGCCGGAACCACCCCAGUGGUCAGGGAGGACAUAAGCCCCGUCACCUGCUGCCAAACACACAAACCACUGCUCCCAGCCCCUGGCACACACUGGGCUCGUGGCCCCUCCGCGGUUCUCCCGGAGCCAGGGAAGAACCCGUGCGGGAGCCAGGCCCGGCCGCCUGAGGGACUUUACACCCGAGGGACCAAGGCUUCCACCGGGAGACGCCUCCGCGUUCCACUGAAUUGGAAGAGGAGACUGGCGCCCGGCCCGCGGAGGCUCCUGCCUCUUGGCCGCUCCAGUGGGCAGAGAAGGGAGGCUCGAGGGGGCCCAGGCGAGCGGGGCUGCCGCUCAAAAGUGCGUGGACGCGGGUAGGAACCGGGGCGGCUCCUCCCACUGCGGGAUCCGACGGCUCACAGCGGGCUGCAGGCUUCCCACCCGCAGGGGCCACGGGGCCAGGGCGCUCUGCUCGGAGGGUGCCGGUUCCCUGACCAGGCCCGCACCCGGCUGCUGAGGGGCUGGUGGCGGACGGGGGAGCCAGCCGCUGGUGGUGCCCCGGGGCGACCUCCACCGCACGGGCACGGCUGCCCCCUCCACCCGCUGCUGUGGCCGCCGGUGGAAGCAAUAGGGUCCACUUGUGAGAUGUCAAGGGA